UGCUCGGUAGCGCAGUGGGCAGCGCGUAAGUCUCAUAAUCUUAAGGUCGUGAGUUCGAUCCUCACCUGGGGCAU
rnacentral:tRNA from 1 species